AUUGAACGCUGGCGGCAUGCCUUACACAUGCAAGUCGAACGGUAACGGGCCUUCGGGUGCCGACGAGUGGCGAACGGGUGAGUAAUGUAUCGGAACGUACCUUUCAGUGGGGGAUAACGUAGCGAAAGUUGCGCUAAUACCGCAUAUUCUGUGCGCAGGAAAGCAGGGGAUCGCAAGACCUUGCGCUGAUUGAGCGGCCGAUAUCAGAUUAGCUAGUUGGUGAGGUAAAGGCUCACCAAGGCGACGAUCUGUAGCGGGUCUGAGAGGAUGAUCCGCCACAAUGGAACUGAGACACGGUCCAGACUCCUACGGGAGGCAGCAGUGGGGAAUUGUGGAAAAUGGGGGCAACCCUGAUCCAGCCAUGCCGCGUGGGUGAAGAAGGCCUUCGGGUUGUAAAGCUCUUUCGGCCGGGAAGAAAUCGUAUCAGCUAAUACCUGGUGCGGAUGACGGUACCGGCAUAAGAAGCACCGGCUAACUACGUGCCAGCCGCCGCGGUAAGAC
rnacentral:rRNA from 1 species